UAACCAUGCAGUCGAGCGGUAACAGAGAUAGCUUGCUAUCUGCUGACGAGCGGCGGACGGGUGAGUAAUGCUUGGGAAUAUGCCUUUGAGUGGGGGACAACAGUUGGAAACGACUGCUAAUACCGCAUAACGUCUACGGACCAAAGGGGGGGAUGCUUCGGCACCUCUCGCUCAUUGAUUAGCCCAAGUGAGAUUAGCUAGUUGGUAAGGUAAUGGCUUACCAAGGCGACGAUCUCUAGCUGGUUUGAGAGGAUGAUCAGCCACACUGGGACUGAGACACGGCCCAGACUCCUACGGGAGGCAGCAGUGGGGAAUAUUGCACAAUGGGCGAAAGCCUGAUGCAGCCAUGCCGCGUGUGUGAAGAAGGCCUUCGGGUUGUAAAGCACUUUCAGCGAGGAGGAAAGGUUAGUAGUUAAUAGCUGCUAGCUGUGACGUUACUCGCAGAAGAAGCACCGGCUAACUUCGUGCCAGCAGCCGCGGUAAUACGAGGGGUGCAAGCGUUAAUCGGAAUUACUGGGCGUAAAGCGUGCGUAGGUGGUUUGUUAAGCAAGAUGUGAAAGCCCCGGGCUCAACCUGGGAACUGCAUUUUGAACUGGCAAACUAGAGUUUUGUAGAGGGUAGUGGAAUUUCCAGUGUAGCGGUGAAAUGCGUAGAAAUUGGAAGGAACAUCAAUGGCGAAGGCGGCUACCUGGACAAAGACUGACACUGAAGGCACGAAAGCGUGG
rnacentral:rRNA from 1 species